rnacentral:rRNA from 1 species
UAGAACUCAGGAGAAGGAACUCGGCAAAUUGAUACCGUAACUUCGGGAGAAGGUAUGCCCCUGGUACGUGAAGGCCCUUGCGGCCGGAGCGGAACGGGGUCGCAGAGAAUCGGUGGCCGCGACUGUUUAUUAAAAGCACAGCACUCUGCAAACACGAAAGUGGACGUAUAGGGUGUGACGCCUGCCCGGUGCCGGAAGGUUAAGUGAUGGGGUGCAAGCUCUUGAUCGAAGCCCCGGUAAACAGCGGCCGUAACAAUAACGGUCCUAAGGUAGCGAAAUUCCUUGUCGGGUAAGUUCCGACCUGCACGAAUGGCGUAACGAUGGCCACACUGUCUCCUCCUGAGACUCAGCGAAGUUGAAAUGUUUGUGAAGAUGCAAUCUCCCCGCGGCUAGACGGAAAGACCCCAUGAACCUUUACUGUAGCUUUGCAUUGGACUUUGACGGGACUUGUGUAGGAUAGGUGGGAGGCUUUGAAGCCGGGACGCUAGUUCCGGUGGAGCCAUCCUUGAAAUACCACCCUGGUGUCGUCGAGGUUCUAACCCAGGCCUGUGAAUCCAGGUCGGGGACCGUGCAUGGUGGGCAGUUUGACUGGGGCGGUCUCCUCCCAAAAGGUAACGGAGGAGUACGAAGGUCACCUAGGUACGGUCGGACAUCGUACUGAUAGUGCAAUGGCAAAAGGUGGCUUGACUGCGAGACCCACAAGUCGAGCAGGUGCGAAAGCAGGUCGUAGUGAUCCGGUGGUUCUGUAUGGAAGGGCCAUCGCUCAACGGAUAAAAGGUACUCUGGGGAUAACAGGCUGAUUCCGCCCAAGAGUUCACAUCGACGGCGGAGUUUGGCACCUCGAUGUCGGCUCAUCACAUCCUGGGGCUGUAGCCGGUCCCAAGGGUAUGGCUGUUCGCCAUUUAAAGUGGUACGUGAGCUGGGUUUAAAACGUCGUGAGACAGUUUGGUCCCUAUCUGCCGUGGGCGCUGGAAGUUUGAGAGGGCCUGCUCCUAGUACGAGAGGACCGGAGUGGACGCACCCCUGGUGUACCGGUUGUGACGCCAGUCGCAUCGCCGGGUAGCUAUGUGCGGAAGAGAUAACCGCUGAAAGCAUCUAAGCGGGAAACUCGCCUCAAGAUGAGACUUCCCCGGGGCCUCGAGCCCCCUGAAGGGUCGUUGAAGACCACAACGUUGAUAGGUCGGGUGUGUAAGCGUGGCAACACGUUCAGCUAACCGAUACUAAUUGCCCGUGUGGCUUGAUCC